rnacentral:rRNA from 1 species
GAGUUUGAUCAUGGCUCAGAUUGAACGCUGGCGGCAUGCCUUACACAUGCAAGUCGAACGGCGGCAUGAUCUAGCUUGCUAGAUUGAUGGCGAGUGGCGAACGGGUGAGUAAUACAUCGGAACGUGCCCUGUAGUGGGGGAUAACUAGUCGAAAGAUUAGCUAAUACCGCAUACGACCUGAGGGUGAAAGUGGGGGACCGCAAGGCCUCAUGCUAUAGGAGCGGCCGAUGUCUGAUUAGCUAGUUGGUGGGGUAAAGGCCCACCAAGGCGACGAUCAGUAGCUGGUCUGAGAGGACGAUCAGCCACACUGGGACUGAGACACGGCCCAGACUCCUACGGGAGGCAGCAGUGGGGAAUUUUGGACAAUGGGCGAAAGCCUGAUCCAGCAAUGCCGCGUGUGUGAAGAAGGCCUCGGUUGUAAG